rnacentral:rRNA from 1 species
AGAGUUUGAUCAUGGCUCAGAACGUACGCUGGCGGCACGCCUAACACAUGCAAGUCGAACGAAGUAGCAAUACUUAGUGGCAAACGGGUGAGUAUAAUGUGGGAAUUUGCCCAUCAGUAUAGAAUAACACGAGGAAACUUGUGCUAAUACUAAAUACGCCUUUACAGGGAAAGCUUUAUGCGCUGAUGGAUAAGCCCGCACUUGAUUAGCUAGUUGGUAAGGUAAUGGCUUACCAAGGCAAUGAUCAAUAGCUGAUCUGAGAGGAUGAUCAGCCACAUUGGGACUGAGACACGGCCCAAACUCCUACGGGAGGCAGCAGUGGGGAAUCUUGCACAAUGGGGGCAACCCUGAUGCAGCGAUGCCGCGUGAGUGAAGAAGGCCUUUGGGUUGUAAAGCUCUUUCGUCGGGGAAGAAAAUGACUGUACCCGAAUAAGAAGGUCCGGCUAACUUCGUGCCAGCCGCCGCGGUAAUAC